rnacentral:rRNA from 1 species
UACAGAGGGUGCGAGCGUUAAUCGGAAUUACUGGGCGUAAAGCGCACGUAGUCGGCUUUGCAAGUCGGUUGUGAAAUCCCCGGGCUCAACCUGGGAACUGCAUCCGAGACUGCAUUGCUAGAGUAUGGGAGAGGAAAGCGGAAUUUCUGGUGUAGCAGUGAAAUGCGUAGAUAUCAGAAGGAACAUCAGUGGCGAAGGCGACUUCCUGGACCAAUACUGACGCUCAGGUGCGAAAGCGUGGGGAGCAAACAGG